rnacentral:lncRNA from 1 species
CACCUGGAGACUUCUUAACAGAGACAAUAAUUGUCUUUCAUUUUACAGUUGCCGAUUUUUACCAGUGUUGUGAACAGCCUCCGGGUUGUUGUCGAGCGCAAGCUCGCUCUGCCUGCUAAAAUGGCGGCCGAGGGCGUCCAUUGGAUACUUCACUGGUUCGCACGAGUGGGCUAUCUUGCUCCGCUUUACGACCUCUGGUCGGAACUGCUGUUGAGCUCAAUUCUGCCGUUUAAAUUUUGAAAAUCGGUUCAGGUUAAGAGUUCGUACAGCGUUUUAUUAACCGUGUGCGGAAAUUAAAUAAGUCAUGCACGGAAACGUCGGGAUUCGCCCGGAGACACUCGGAGUUUUCGUGUGUGGCGUAUCUAGAGCCUAUUGGCUCUGAAAACGAAGAAGAAGAACAGAAUAAUAAGAACACCUGGUCUCUCAUCAAAAGAAGGAUUAUUCACAAUAGCUCGAGUCCAAUAACGGAGCACCCACCUCAAAUAAGCUUGCGUGCCAAGUUUCCCUCGUAAGUCGUGAUCAAGAGGAAGACACUGCCCAAAGACAAGCUUCCAGCCGGCGUCAUUGUCCGUGCGCAGCAGGAGGAGUGGAUACGAUAGACGAGGAACAUGUGGUGUACCCCGGUGAUUCGUGGAUCGACGACCCGAAGGAAUGGCCGAACGUGCAAUACCCGGACGGAUACGCGUAUCUCGUCAAGACACCAGGAUCAACAGGUACUUGGCCAUUGUCCAUCUGCAGGAGAAGUGCAGCAAAUGCUCCAGCGGUGUGAUCUCCUUGUAGCUGAGCACACAUGUUGGUUUGAAUUCUCAUCUUUUCAACAUCUCUCCACAGCACAAGUCUGUGGGGGAGCAUCAUUGGCUGAAGGCGUGGCUGUGCUGCUGAUGCAAUGUCCUCCGCUGGUUGGGGCAGGAAUUUGUAAUUUGUGCAUGGUGCCGGCGAUAGCUCACCUACUCUUCGCAAAGGACACCAUGGGAUCUUCAACAUCCACAAUCAAUUGCUGGCAGACGGGACGCUUUGAGGGCCAAGUUUGAAAUCAGAACAAAGGGAUUGUGCAUAUGCAAGAGAAGUUUCGAGAUUCCAGAUGUCACUUCAAAGCAUUCACGAGAAUACAUUGCUCUGGAACAGACCACGUGGAGGAGAGGGUGGUGCAGAACAGACGUUCUCAUUGGAUGCCCGUUGAAACCACAGUGAAAUCGGUUUGGCAUACACCAUUCCUUGCGAUUGCUUUUUCUUAACAUUAUGCAUGUUUCUUGCAAUUCCGUUUUCAGAACGAGCCUCAUUACUGAUGGGGAGCAUAUUAAGCAAAAUUUAGUUGCAAAAUGUUGAGAUGUGCAUUGGACAAAUCAAUCUAUGGUACUGUGAAGUAUUCAUCCAUUAGCACUGCACCGCUUCAACCAUGGAUGAAACUAGCCAGAAAUCGGCUCGUAUUCACAAUUCCAACACAUUUCACACAAUGACUGAAUGAAUAGGUAGGGACGAGGCUAAAAUGGACUUAUAUGUGAGGUCACUGGUUCUUUUCAAGAAAAUAAACUUCCAUCAUG